UGGGGAAUUUUGGACAAUGGGCGAAAGCCUGAUCCAGCAAUGCCGCGUGUGUGAAGAAGGCCUUCGGGUUGUAAAGCACUUUUGUCCGGAAAGAAAUCCUUGGCUCUAAUACAGUCGGGGGAUGACGGUACCGGAAGAAUAAGCACCGGCUAACUACGUGCCAGCAGCCGCGGUAAUACGUAGGGUGCAAGCGUUAAUCGGAAUUACUGGGCGUAAAGCGUGCGCAGGCGGUUUGCUAAGACCGAUGUGAAAUCCCCGGGCUCAACCUGGGAACUGCAUUGGUGACUGGCAGGCUAGAGUAUGGCAGAGGGGGGUAGAAUUCCACGUGUAGCAGUGAAAUGCGUAGAGAUGUGGAGGAAUACCGAUGGCGAAGGCAGCCCCCUGGGCCAAAUACUGACGCUCAUGCACGAAAAGCGUGGGGAGCAAAACAGGAUUAGAUACCCUGGUAGUCCACGCCCUAAAACGAUGUCAACUAGUUGUUGGGGAUUCAUUUCCUUAGUAACGUACUAACGCGUGAAGUUGACCGCCUGGGGAGUACGGUCGCAAAGAUUAAAACUUAAAGGAAUUGACGGGGUCAUA
rnacentral:rRNA from 1 species